rnacentral:rRNA from 1 species
AUUGAACGCUGGCGGCAGGCCUAACACAUGCAAGUCGAACGAGUGGCGGACGGGUGAGUAAUGUCUGGGAAACUGCCUGAUCGAGGGGGAUAACUCCUGGAAACGGUAGCUAAUACCGCAUACCAUCGGAUGUGCCCAUAUGGGAUUAGCUAGUAGGUGGGGUAACGGCUCACCUAGGCGACGAUCCCUAGCUGGUCUGAGAGGAUGACCAGCCACACUGGAACUGAGACACGGUCCAGACUCCUACGGGAGGCAGCAGUGGGGAAUAUUGCACAAUGGGCGCAAGCCUGAUGCAGCCAUGCCGCGUGUGUGAAGAAGGCCUUCGGGUUGUAAAGUACUUUCAGCGGGGAGGCGGUACCCGAAGAAGAAGCACCGGCUAACUCCGUGUCAGCAGCCGCGGUAAUAC